rnacentral:rRNA from 1 species
UACGGGGGGGGCAAGCGUUGUUCGGAAUUACUGGGCGUAAAGGGCUCGUAGGCGGCCAACUAAGUCCGACGUGAAAUCCCCAGGCUUAACCUGGGAACUGCGUCGGAUACUGGAUGGCUUGAGUGCAGGAGAGGAACGCGGAAUUCCAGGUGUAGCGGUGAAAUGCGUAGAUAUCUGGAGGAACACCGGUGGCGAAGGCGGCGUUCUGGACUGCAACUGACACUGAGGAACGAAAGCCAGGGAGCAAACGGG